UUGGUAUUGGAGUUGGGUGUGAAAGCAUCUUCUUUUUGCAACCCACUAUCUCACCUUUUUGCCCUAUCACCAUGCACUCACAUCCACAUUCAUAGAAUUACAUAUUAAUUUAUUAGGCUACCCCCGGGGGAGAGUGGCAUUGUUUAAGAUGCUUCAUGUCCUCACCCACAGCAAUUGGCUUUGACUUUAUCAAGAUGGAAGUCCAGUAGUUGCUUGUUCUGACGCGGAACAUCUGAAUUGCGUACCGCCCGGGAGAGCAGCAGAAUGCGGGCACAAAUGUUAAAAUAUCGAAGUCCAUCUUAUUUAAAAAAUUAAAAUAUCAAGCAGCCAUUACAAAUGUUCCUUAGCUUCAAGUUGCAAGCAGUAUAUAUACAAUGGCCCAUCCAUGCAAGGACUAAAUGAUUUGUUCCAAGCCUCCUUCAAGCCUUCAGAGAUUAUCCAAAGGCUUAUUUUCUCUUCCCUUGAGGUUCCAAGGUUGGAUACAUGGGAGAAGAUCUCAAGGAGAUGUUUCGAAAAGUCUCAUCGCCACGAGCCGAAGAUGCGGAUGAGCUCUGUGAGUCUGCAUCUCUCUCAACUGCUGACUCCGGGGACUCCAUGUUCUCAUCUUCAUCUGAUCUCACAGAUGAUGCAACUUCCUCAUCAUCUCCCAAGCCAUUCUCAACGUCGUCGAAUGCAUCGAAAUUGGAUUCGGAUGGGCCUGUUUUCGAGUUCUCUUUGCUCAUGGCUCAUCUUCCCAUCAAGAAAAAAGCUUGAUAACAAUUCUUAGCUCAAAAUAAUAGUUCCACAGAGCUCAAAUGACUCGAGGUUCAACCAAUAAAAAGGUUCUCUUUUGCUCUUUCUUCUGCUACAAUCAUUCUAUUUAACAUGCAAAAAUUUAAGCAUGGUUAAAUGGCAUGAUAUAUCUCACUAAUGAAAAAGAUGGCAUGACCAUCCGACAUCUUACACUAGGAUUUGUAUCAGAGAGCAUACUGGUAUAUAGCUUCUGCAGUGCCAUCCUGGUAAUCGGUGGCUCCAAUCACAUCUGCCACAGCUUUAGCCCUUUCUGACCCGUUUCCCAGGGCAAUGCCCAGUGAUGCUAGCUGUAGCAUCUCUGUCAUUUUCUCCAUUGCCAGGUCAUGAUCUGGUCAAAAAUUAGGUCAUCUUUGUCACCUUGAAAGAAAGGGUGAUGCCUAGAACUGAAGAUAGAAUUUUGGAGAGAUAGCAAAUUGGAUAAAAAAGAAGUUAAAUCAUUGUUUGUUCUAAGAUUCUCUGUUGGAAACAUUAGAGAUUGUGUAAAAUGUCAGCUAAAAGACACUAGAAAGAAUGGCAAAGAGCAUAAAUUAAAGGCACGUAUAAUUCUCAAAAUUUAGGACUGUGGAAAUAUAACAAUGCUAAAUGCCAUUCUAACUGCCAGAGGAAAGGAGCCCAGCAGGGGUGGAACGAGCUGGAACGAGCGUAUGUAAAUCAUCAUCCUUACGAUAGAUUAUUAUACCUGAGAGCUGUCAUUGGCACUUGUUAUAUUAUUAUACAUUAGAAUCUCCAUCUUGCGAUAUGUUAGUCUCCUCAACCUAAUAACUUCAGAUGGCCUAGCAACAUAUAUGAUCUUGCAAAGGAGACAUCCAAUAACACAUAUAUUAAACAUAAUCUAAUGCCGUAUUGGAAAUUUUAUUAAGACAAGGGAUAUUACUAGGGGAAGUACAGAUGAAGACGGUAAAAGAAGGUAAUUCACACCUCUUUUGUGGUAAUUCCAAGGCGAUCCAGCAGCACUUUUUCCCCACUACAUUUUGAAGUUCCAGAGGGGAUGAUUUCAACCAUAUCUGGCAGUGCCUUGAUACUAUGUGCACUAAUCCUGUUGCUUCAAACCAAUAUGGCUGUGAGGUAGAUGACACCGUCUCAGGCAUGUCGAGAUAAAGCAGCUUCUGCAAAUACAGAAUUAUUCCCAGAAGUAAGGCGUUCACAUUAAUUCCAACCUACUUUUAGUCAAAAAGAUCAUGCUGAACUCUCCCUCAACAAUGAUAGCUUAGUCAUGCCUUCACUAAGCAAAAUUUUGAUAAGUGUGUCAAGUGCAGAAUCUUGCUUUGUUAGAAUCUGGCACCUAUGUGCUGGAUUAAAUAUGAUACACAAUGUGCCAAGGACUGUCUAACCUAAAAGCCGAAAAGAAGAAAAGAAAAAGGAGCCUAGAAUGAAAUAAAUGUUAUAAAGGUUUCAUCCAUUAAAAAAAAUGCAGGCAACAUAUUAAGACAUUUUUGGUCAAAUAUUGGUAUUUGUAUGCACUAGAAUGUAGCAUGUGCAAAGCACAUGUUUUUUAAAUUUCAGAGUAAAAAAUAAAAAUAUAUUUAAAUAAAUAAUAAUGUUGGAGGAAGGACUCCAACCUUAGACCUUAUGGUUAACAACUAAAUGCUAAUUUGUCCAACCCCACAUGAAGGAUGACAUUUAAUAGAUGUUCUCAAUUAAAUGUUCAAAUAAGUGGACUCUGACUAGAUAAGGAAUAGACAGAAUUGGCUGAAAAAGACUUGAAACUCCUUGAUGGUUUUAAAUGAUGAAAAAAUAGCAGAAAUUGAAUAAG